AGCGAACGCUGCGGCAGGCCUAACACAUGCAAGUCGAACGAAGUCUUCGGACUUAGUGGCGGACGGGUGAGUAACACGUGGGAACGUGCCUUUAGGUUCGGAAUAACCCAGGGAAACUUGUGCUAAUACCGAAUGUGCCCUUCGGGGGAAAGAUUUAUCGCCUUUAGAGCGGCCCGCGUCUGAUUAGCUAGUUGGUGAGGUAAAGGCUCACCAAGGCUACGAUCAGUAGCUGGUCUGAGAGGAUGACCAGCCACAUUGGGACUGAGACACGGCCCAAACUCCUACGGGAGGCAGCAGUGGGGAAUCUUGCGCAAUGGGCGAAAGCUUGACGCAGCCAUGCCGCGUGGAUGAUGAAGGUCUUAGGAUUGUAAAAUCCUUUCACCGGUGAAGAUAAUGACUGUAGCCGGAGAAGAAGCCCCGGCUAACUUCGUGCCAGCCGCCGCCGUAAGAC
rnacentral:rRNA from 1 species